AACACGCUCCAGGGGAGCUUGUCGUUUUAGGAAGCUGAGAGUAAGGUUGUGCCUUAGACCCUUGAACCUGUUUGGAUAAUGCCAGCGUGGAAGAGUUUGCAAAAGAAC
rnacentral:ncRNA from 19 species